AUGGACGGCAUCGCGGCCUUGCCGGAGGACGUCAUCCUCCAGGUCCUGUCCCGCGUGGGCACCGUCAAAGGCCUCUUUAUGCUCGCCGUGACAUGCCGACGGUGGCUGCGCCGCUUCACCGACCCGGCCUUCCUCCGCGGACUGUGCCCGGGCCAGGGCGUGGGGCACCGCGCGCGCUUCCUCGGCUUCUUCUUUCAGCAGACGAGUUUCGAUCGAUGUGGAAGGAUGAUGGAUACGCGGAUGAUGCAGCACACCUCGGUCUUCGCACCCACCUUCCUGCCGGCGCCGGGGUCGCCGCUUGGCCCCAAGGCCUGUGCCCUCACCUCCUUCGUCGCCGACGAUGAUGGCACCUUCAACUACGCCCAGCCCCUAGCAGCGCGCCGCGGCAUCGUCCUGAUGCAGCUGGUCCCCCGCACAUUGGCCACGACCAAACAGCUCCUCGGCCUCUGCAACCCUAUCACCGGCGAACGCCAUGUUAUUCCGCCUCUUGAGUGCUCCGUCUACGGCUACGCCAUCAUCACAGCCGCUGAUAGCGGCGACCUCGAUGGGAAGCAGCCGCCAUCAUUGCCAGGGUGCUUCGCGUUCUCGCAGCUGCUCCUGGCCACCGUACAAAUUCUUGGGGUGUAUCUCAACUCCUACUCCGCCGCCACGCGCAGCUGGAGCGCUCCCACCCUGUGCCUGGACAGCCCCCACAUCUCCCUUGUGGGUGAGAGAUCCGCCGUUGUUCACCAGGGCGCGGCGCACUGGCUGUGCAUUGAUCGAGUUCACCACCUGCUGUACAAACUCAGCGCGGAGGUGGGCACGAGCAUGGCGCGCUUCUCCAUGACGAAGCUCCCCGUCCGUGCCGGAGGCUCACCGCUCCUCUGCGUGAGCAGAGACGGCAAGCUUUCUAUCGCUUGCGUGUAUCUCGUGCACGUGACUGUUUGGACGCAGCAAGGCGGAGAAGGUGGCGACGACACCCCUGCGGCUUGGCUUCGCACUGUGAUCAGAAUUCCAACUGCGGUGCCGUACCCGAAGUAUCACCCGCUAAGUCAGCCCUUAGAGAAGUGGUUUAACUUCAACAUGGGAUCCCUGCUCGUGCUGUACAGGAGCAGCGCCAUCUUCAUCCUCGACCUCGAGAAGAAGGUAAUGGAAAAGGUCAUGGAUUGCUUGGGGCCACUAUCCAAUGAUAAACUGAGUCGGACGCCUGUGGCGUACGAGAUGGACUUGGUGGAAUUCUUUGUGCUCCAGCUUGGCGGACUAUGUAGGAGUCUUUUAGAAUAA
rnacentral:rRNA from 1 species